rnacentral:rRNA from 1 species
AGAGUUUGAUCAUGGCUCAGGACGAACGCUGGCGGCGUGCCUAAUACAUGCAAGUCGAACGAACUCUGGUAUUGAUUGGUGCUUGCAUCAUGAUUUACAUUUGAGUGAGUGGCGAACUGGUGAGUAACACGUGGGAAACCUGCCCAGAAGCGGGGGAUAACACCUGGAAACAGAUGCUAAUACCGCAUAACAACUUGGACCGCAUGGUCCGAGCUUGAAAGAUGGCUUCGGCUAUCACUUUUGGAUGGUCCCGCGGCGUAUUAGCUAGAUGGUGGGGUAACGGCUCACCAUGGCAAUGAUACGUAGCCGACCUGAGAGGGUAAUCGGCCACAUUGGGACUGAGACACGGCCCAAACUCCUACGGGAGGCAGCAGUAGGGAAUCUUCCACAAUGGACGAAAGUCUGAUGGAGCAACGCCGCGUGAGUGAAGAAGGGUUUCGGCUCGUAAAACUCUGUUGUUAAAGAAGAACAUAUCUGAGAGUAACUGUUCAGGUAUUGACGGUAUUUAACCAGAAAGCCACGGCUAACUACGUGCCAGCAGCCGCGGUAAUACGUAGGUGGCAAGCGUUGUCCGGAUUUAUUGGGCGUAAAGCGAGCGCAGGCGGUUUUUUAAGUCUGAUGUGAAAGCCUUCGGCUCAACCGAAGAAGUGCAUCGGAAACUGGGAAACUUGAGUGCAGAAGAGGACAGUGGAACUCCAUGUGUAGCGGUGAAAUGCGUAGAUAUAUGGAAGAACACCAGUGGCGAAGGCGGCUGUCUGGUCUGUAACUGACGCUGAGGCUCGAAAGUAUGGGUAGCAAACAGGAUUAGAUACCCUGGUAGUCCAUACCGUAAACGAUGAAUGCUAAGUGUUGGAGGGUUUCCGCCCUUCAGUGCUGCAGCU